rnacentral:rRNA from 1 species
UUCCGGUUGAUCCUGCCGGACCUGACUGCUAUCGGAUUGAUACUAAGCCAUGCGAGUCUUUGUAGUAAUACAAGGCAGACGGCUCAGUAACACGUAGUCAACCUACCCUAUGGACGAGAAUAAUCUCGGGAAACUGAGCAUAAUUCUCGAUAGAUCAUAAUGCCUGGAAUGGUUUAUGGUUAAAAUGAUUCGUCGCCAUAGGAUGGGACUGCGGCCUAUCAGCUUGUUGGUGAGGUAAUGGCCCACCAAGGCGAUUACAGGUACGGGCUCUGAGAGGAGAAGCCCGGAGAUGGGUACUGAGACACGGACCCAGGCCCUAUGGGGCGCAGCAGGCGAGAAAACUUUGCAAUGUGCGAAAGCACGACAAGGUUAAUCCGAGUGAUUUCUGCUAAAGAAAUCUUUUGCCAGUCAUAAAACCACUGGUGAAUAAGGGGUGGGCAAGUUCUGAUGUCAGCCGCCGCGGUAAAACCAGCACCUCAAGUGGUCAGGAUGAUUAUUGGGCCUAAAGCAUCCGUAGCCGGCUUUGUUAGUUUUCGGUUAAAUCCAUGUGCUCAACACAUGGGCUGCCGAAAAUACUGCAUGGCUAGGGAGUGGGAGAGGUAGACGGUACUCAGUAGGAAGGGGUAAAAUCCUUUGAUCUAUUGAUGACCACCUGUGGCGAAGGCGGUCUACCAGAACACGUUCGACGGUGAGGGAUGAAAGCUGGGGGAGCAAACCGGAUUAGAUACCCGGGUAGUCCCAGCUGUAAACGAUGCAGACUCGAUGAUGCAUUGGCAUAAUAGCCAAUGCAGUGUCGCAGGGAAGCCGUUAAGUCUGCCGCCUGGGAAGUACGUACGCAAGUAUGAAACUUAAAGGAAUUGGCGGGGAGCACCACAAGGGGUGAAGCCUGCGGUUCAAUUGGAAUCAACGCCGGG